UUUGGUUAAGUUAGAAAGGGCGCACGGUGGAUGCCUUGACACUAGGAGUCGAUGAAGGACGGGACUAACGCCGAUAUGCUUCGGGGAGCUGUAAGUAAGCUUUGAUCCGAAGAUUUCCGAAUGGGGAAACCCACCAUACGUAAUGGUAUGGUAUCCUUACCUGAAUACAUAGGGUAAGGAAGACAGACCCAGGGAACUGAAACAUCUAAGUACCUGGAGGAAGAGAAAGCAAAUGCGAUUUCCUGAGUAGCGGCGAGCGAAACGGAACAUAGCCCAAACCAAGAGGCUUGCCUCUUGGGGUUGUAGGACAUUCUAUACGGAGUUACAAAGGAACGAGGUAGACGAAGCGACCUGGAAAGGUCCGUCGUAGAGGGUAACAACCCCGUAGUCGAAACUUCGUUCUCUCUUGAAUGUAUCCUGAGUACGGCGGAACACGUGAAAUUCCGUCGGAAUCUGGGAGGACCAUCUCCCAAGGCUAAAUACUCCCUAGUGAUCGAUAGUGAACCAGUACCGUGAGGGAAAGGUGAAAAGCACCCCGGAAGGGGAGUGAAAGAGAUCCUGAAACCGUGUGCCUACAAAUAGUCAGAGCCCGUUAACGGGUGAUGGCGUGCCUUUUGUAGAAUGAACCGGCGAGUUACGAUCCCGUGCGAGGUUAAGCUGAAGAGGCGGAGCCGCAGCGAAAGCGAGUCUGAAUAGGGCGUUUAGUACGUGGUCGUAGACCCGAAACCAGGUGAUCUACCCAUGUCCAGGGUGAAGUUCAGGUAACACUGAAUGGAGGCCCGAACCCACGCACGUUGAAAAGUGCGGGGAUGAGGUGUGGGUAGCGGAGAAAUUCCAAUCGAACCUGGAGAUAGCUGGUUCUCCCCGAAAUAGCUUUAGGGCUAGCCUUAAGUGUAAGAGUCUUGGAGGUAGAGCACUGAUUGGACUAGGGGUCCUCAUCGGAUUACCGAAUUCAGUCAAACUCCGAAUGCCAAUGACUUAUCCUUAGGAGUCAGACUGCGAGUGAUAAGAUCCGUAGUCAAAAGGGAAACAGCCCAGACCGCCAGCUAAGGUCCCAAAGUGUGUAUUAAGUGGAAAAGGAUGUGGAGUUGCUUAGACAACUAGGAUGUUGGCUUAGAAGCAGCCACCAUUUAAAGAGUGCGUAAUAGCUCACUAGUCGAGUGACUCUGCGCCGAAAAUGUACCGGGGCUAAAUACACCACCGAAGCUGCGGAUUGAUACCAAUGGUAUCAGUGGUAGGGGAGCGUUCUAAGGACAGUGAAGUCAGACCGGAAGGACUGGUGGAGUGCUUAGAAGUGAGAAUGCCGGUAUGAGUAGCGAAAGACGGGUGAGAAUCCCGUCCACCGAAUGCCUAAGGUUUCCUGAGGAAGGCUCGUCCGCUCAGGGUUAGUCAGGACCUAAGCCGAGGCCGACAGGCGUAGGCGAUGGACAACAGGUUGAUAUUCCUGUACCACCUCUUUAUCGUUUGAGCAAUGGAGGGACGCAGAAGGAUAGAAGAAGCGUGCGAUUGGUUGUGCACGUCCAAGCAGUUAGGCUGAUAAGUAGGCAAAUCCGCUUAUCGUAAAGGCUGAGCUGUGAUGGGGAAGCUCCUUAUGGAGCGAAGUCUUUGAUUCCCCGCUGCCAAGAAAAGCUUCUAGCGAGAUAAAAGGUGCCUGUACCGCAAACCGACACAGGUAGGCGAGGAGAGAAUCCUAAGGUGUGCGAGAGAACUCUGGUUAAGGAACUCGGCAAAAUGACCCCGUAACUUCGGGAGAAGGGGUGCUUUCUUAACGGAAAGCCGCAGUGAAUAGGCCCAAGCGACUGUUUAGCAAAAACACAGCUCUCUGCGAAGCCGUAAGGCGAAGUAUAGGGGGUGACACCUGCCCGGUGCUGGAAGGUUAAGGAGAGGGGUUAGCGUAAGCGAAGCUCUGAACUGAAGCCCCAGUAAACGGCGGCCGUAACUAUAACGGUCCUAAGGUAGCGAAAUUCCUUGUCGGGUAAGUUCCGACCCGCACGAAAGGUGUAACGAUUUGGGCACUGUCUCAACCAGAGACUCGGUGAAAUUAUAGUACCUGUGAAGAUGCAGGUUACCCGCGACAGGACGGAAAGACCCCGUGGAGCUUUACUGUAGCCUGAUAUUGAAUUUUGGUACAGUUUGUACAGGAUAGGCGGGAGCCUUUGAAACCGGAGCGCUAGCUUCGGUGGAGGCGCUGGUGGGAUACCGCCCUGACUGUAUUGAAAUUCUAACCUACGGGUCUUAUCGACCCGGGAGACAGUGUCAGGUGGGCAGUUUGACUGGGGCGGUCGCCUCCUAAAGUGUAACGGAGGCGCCCAAAGGUUCCCUCAGAAUGGUUGGAAAUCAUUCGUAGAGUGCAAAGGCAUAAGGGAGCUUGACUGCGAGACCUACAAGUCGAGCAGGGACGAAAGUCGGGCUUAGUGAUCCGGUGGUUCCGCAUGGAAGGGCCAUCGCUCAACGGAUAAAAGCUACCCCGGGGAUAACAGGCUUAUCUCCCCCAAGAGUCCACAUCGACGGGGAGGUUUGGCACCUCGAUGUCGGCUCAUCGCAUCCUGGGGCUGUAGUCGGUCCCAAGGGUUGGGCUGUUCGCCCAUUAAAGCGGUACGCGAGCUGGGUUCAGAACGUCGUGAGACAGUUCGGUCCCUAUCCGUCGUGGGCGUAGGAAAUUUGAGAGGAGCUGUCCUUAGUACGAGAGGACCGGGAUGGACGCACCGCUGGUGUACCAGUUGUUCUGCCAAGGGCAUAGCUGGGUAGCUAUGUGCGGAAGGGAUAAGUGCUGAAAGCAUCUAAGCAUGAAGCCCCCCUCAAGAUGAGAUUUCCCAUAGCGUAAGCUAGUAAGAUCCCUGAAAGAUGAUCAGGUUGAUAGGUUCGAGGUGGAAGCAUGGUGACAUGUGGAGCUGACGAAUACUAAUAGAUCGAGGACUUAACCAUAUAA
rnacentral:rRNA from 3 species